GUUCAAGUAGCUUAAUUAUAAAGUAUAACAUUGAAGAUGUUGGGAUAAGUGUAUACUUCUUGAACG
rnacentral:tRNA from 1 species